GUCGCCCAGAUGGCGGAAUUGGUAGACGCGCCAGCUUCAGGUGCUGGUACUCGAAAGGGUGUGGAGGUUCGAGUCCUCUUCUGGGCACCA
rnacentral:tRNA from 1 species